rnacentral:rRNA from 1 species
UAGGGAAUCUUCCACAAUGGACGCAAGUCUGAUGGAGCAACGCCGCGUGAGUGAAGAAGGUUUUCGGACCGUAAAGCUCUGUUGUUGGUGAAGAAGGAUAGAGGUAGUAACUGGCCUUUAUUUGACGGUAAUCAACCAGAAAGUCACGGCUAACUACGUGCCAGCAGCCGCGGUAAAUCGUGGGUGGCAAGCGUUGUCCGGAUUAUUGGGCGUAAAGCGAGCGCAGGCGGAAGAAUAAGUCUGAUGUGAAAGCCCUCGGCUUAACCGAGGAAUUGCAUCGGAAACUGUUUUCUUGAGUGCAGAAGAGGAGAGUAGAACUCCAUGUGUAGCGGUGGAAUGCGUAGAUAUAUGGAAGAAUACCAGUGGCGAAGGCGGCUCUCUGGUCUGCAACUGACGCUGAGGCUCGAAAGCAUGGGUAGCGAACAGGAUUAGAUACCCUGGUAGUCCAUGCCGUAAACGAUGAGUGCUAAGUGUUGGGAGGCUUCCGCCUCUCAGUGCUGCAGCUAACGCAUUAAGCACUCCGCCUGGGGGAGUACGACCGCAAGGUUGAAAC